CCCACCCCUGCCGGCCGCCCGAACCGCUGCCUGGUCCUCCUCUCCGGUCUUCGGCUUCCCUCCCAGUCUAGUCUUCACAUUGUGCUCGGCUUGGGUUGCGGGAGGACCCGGGCCUGGGGGCCAGGCCCCGGCGACGGCGCCUGGCUACCCUCAGGCGCGCACAAUCGGCGUCCUCCCGGGCCGGGGCUAGGGACGGCGGAGACCCUCCCUGCAGGCGUGGCGUGGUGUGUGCGCGCUCCGGCGGCUGAGCCUCGGCGGCUUCUCGAAAGCAGCGGAGAAAAGCGCCGCAGUGCCGCUGCCCGUGGAGGCGGUGGUGGCGGCGGCGGCAGAAGACGCCCACUGGCGGAGCAGGCGCUCCCCACGCCGCCGCCGCCGCCGCCGCCUUCCGCGCCCACGUAGCGCGCCCCGCGGGACUCGGCCCCUGCGCCAGGCUCCCGCACCCGAGUGAUCCUCUGUGCGCCGCCUGCACCCGGGGCCGGGGCGGGCGGACAGAGCAACCGCUGCGUCUCUGCCCUGCCUUGUCACAUCUGGGUCCGGUGUUUCGGAUUCUAAAUCCUGAGUCCUGCAGCUGCUCCAGCUGUGCGCUGCUGGGCGAGCCACGUCGGCCUGCCCGUUGCCCGAGCCAGGGAAUCCUCCUGGUAGCGGGCCAGCAGCUCCGACCCAGCUGUGCUCAGUCAGAGUUCCCGGGAGAGAGUUCCAACUCGGACCUUUGGUUGGAGUUUAAAUCAACUCGCAGUGUUUCCCAUAAACUAGGGUUUGAAAUACGGUUCCUCCCCAGGACUCCCUUUCGCAUACUCACUUUAAAACGAACUUCGUGUGCACAAGCCCAGUUUGCCUUGGUUGGGGUUAGAGAACGGAAAGGGCAAACUGUGGCCAAAAAUGAGCAAGACUGUGCGAUCAUUGCCCCAAACCCUGAGACCGCCUUGCCAUAUGCGGCUCUCUUGGACACCCCCACCCCCUUCCGUAGCCAUGAAUCCAGGCAGUUGCCACUGAAGGGAAAUGAGCCGCCCAAUGGGCGCUCAGAACUAGGAGCCGCCAGAAGUUUGGGGAAGUUGGAGCGCAAGAGCGCACACAGAUGCACAGGUGUCCGCGUUCGGGCAGGCACGCGCGGCGGGGCCACCAUGGCGCGCUGGGUCCGAGGAGGGGCGGUGGCUGUGCUGUUCCACGGUGGCACGGGCUGUCCGGACUGCCUGGACGAGGUCACCUUCCCCGGAGUGGAGCACACGCGCCAAAGCUCAGCUUUCACGAAGGGCAAAACGGUCACCCAAGCGCCAGGCGUGCGCUACAGUGCAGCAACUGGGUUGACCCAGGGCCCUGGGCUCCCGGUGUGCCCCGGGUCCCGGGGCCAUUUCUCGCCCUCCACGUUUUCUUCUUUCUAUCCAGUUUCACAUGUUUAUUUUGAAGCGUGCUCCAGAUUCCUCACUAGUCGAUGCUUUCCCCGACUCCCAUCCAAACUCCCCCCAAUGGAAAAUAACACUUUUGUAUUUGCACCAAGCUGAGCAGUUGGGAUGCAAAGGACAUGCUGGGGCUCCCCUCCCCCAGUAAAGUCCACAGACGUCUCCGCGAUUGCCGGGCAGAUUCUGAGUGUCGCGUGUAACGGGCAUCAGACUUGGCACUCACUAGGUCAGAAUCCCUACAUUUGUGGAAGAAGAAAAUGAUUCCUGUGACUCUUACCUUAGGGGCGCUGCCCUUGUUUCUGAAUUUUUUCGGCAAAGAAAAAAACUGCAAUGGUUGAGCCAGGCUGCCGGCAGCCUCCCGGCUUGACGCUUCUCCAGCCGUGCAGAGUCCACUCCGGUUACUUUGCUGCGAGUCCGGAGUUUGUGCUUUCGCGACUGGACCAGGCAGCAAGGGUCUGAGGGCUGCCCACACAUUUAGGGAAGUCGAGUUUCUCCUCAAGUGUUUAUUGUUUAUUCCUUUACACGCAAAAUUGUUUCUCCUUGUCAUUUAAGUUUCUUUAUUUGCAUUUUGGAGUUACUAAAUCUAUUUUUCAGUUCCAAGAAAAUAUACAUUUAACUUGCCCAUAAGCCCCCUUGCGGGCGCAGGAGACAGGGUGGGAAACCCCAAAUAUUUGUCCUGGGAGCCCUUAUUAAAUCAGGAGGCAAACUUUAAAAUUUUCAUUAACCCUUUCCCAGAAUCAACCUCCUGUUUACCUUUCGUCCUUUUCUCCAAGUGCUUGCUGGAAGGGACGUUUUCCUGGACAAAUUAAAAAUCACAAGGCAUAACAACGGAAAAGAAAACAACUUGAGGAUGGAGUUUACUGAUUAGCUCUGAAAUUUUCAUACAUGAUCUCCCUCCUUCAUACUGGUGUCCACGUUUGUUACUAGAAAGAAAGAAAAUAAAAGAAAAAGAAAGGAAAGGAAGGAAGAAAGAAAAGAAAGAAAGAGAGAGAGAAAGAAAGAAAAGACAGAAAGAGAAAGGAAGGAAGGAAGGUUUUAAUGAGGAGACAAUGCUUUUUGUCCCUGAGCUUCUCUUGUUCAAGUGCAGAACAGAAAAAGGAGAGAGAAAGUUUGAUGCAGGGAUCAGGCCUCCUCAGCCGCUGAUGCCUCAUGAUAGAAGCACCGUGGCUUCUCAAGGACUGUAGGUUACAGAAGGCUCCCGUCUAGACUGAGUCAGGCCUGGUGGCUGGCACACACACAGUCUACCCAGUGUCUGCAAGAGCAGCCAAUUGGGAGACACUCCACACUUCUCUCUGAGUCAUUGCCUUGUCCAUCCAGGUGCCCACAGCACACACCAACCCACUGCAAACAAGACCUUUUCUCCUGGGAGAAAGCCUCAACGUUUUCAAGCUUGAGUUUUCAGAGUUCUAUAAUUCAAGUGAGUUGCUGCCACAAAAGCAAGAAGGAUCACCAUUCAGCUGUAGCAACCUCCACGGAGGAAACAAGAGAGGAAAUGAGAUGUUCUCCAUUCUGCCAGAAGGCAAACUUCCAGCUACAAUCGGAGGUACUUUCUCUGCAGGUAAGCACCUCUCCAGUGCAAUGAGAACAAAAGAUAAA
rnacentral:lncRNA from 1 species